UCCUGCCUCAGCCUCCCCGAGUAGCUGGGAUUACAGGCGACUGCCGCCACCACGCCCGGCUAAUUUUUUAAGUAUUUUUAGUAGAGACGGGUUUCACCGCGUUAGCCAGCAUGGUCUUGAUCUCCUGACCUCGUGAUCUGCCCUCCUCGGCCUCCCAAAGUGCUGGGAUUACAGGCGUGAGCCACCGCGCCCGGCCGACCCCUGUAGGGUUUUAAAGGAGAGAGGCAGCAUCCCAGAGGGCAAAAAGGGCUUCAUUCAUGGAGAAAGCAACUGAGCUGGGCAGAGCACAGACGGAAUUUGAAUUGGAGGCCAGAGGCAAAGGGAACUCCAAGUGGAAGAAGAAACGGCAUGAAAAAAGGGAUUGAGAAGGAAAAGGACAAGAUGGUUUGGAGAGAGAGCAACUUCAGCCUGGAAAAGCAGAAAUGAGAUGCGGCCAAGAAAAAGACUCCAGCCCAGCCUGCCUUGGUUCUAACCCUGACUGUUACUUAACCUCUUUCUGGCUCAGUCAAGAAACUUGAGCACUGCAAGAUGAUCAUGUGGAAUACCUACUUCAAACGGAUGUUAAGAGGAGUAAAAGUGUUCUUGUUUCUAAGUGCUUGAAAUGCAGCUGGCAUAUAAUUAAGCUAUGCAAAUAUUUACUUUUUUUUUUUGAAAUGCUGAGUUUACUGAUCACUCUAAUUUUUACAUAUGUGUGUCAUUACAGAAGAUUCAGGCUUUAGCGAUGACUGGAGGGUCAUUCGCUGGAAAGAAUUUCAUCAGUUGGAACUAAAUCAUGGUGAGCAAAAGAAAGUCUACCUAAGUGAUAUGGUUUGGCUCUGUGUCCACAUCCAGAUCUCAUCUCGAAUUGUAAUUCCCACAAGUUGUGGGACGGAGGUGAUUGAAUCAUGGGGGCAGGUGCCCCAAUGCUGUUCUGGUGAUAAUGAGUGAGUCCCCAAGAGAACUGAUGAUUUUAUAAGGGGCUCUUCCCCCUUCACUUUCUCUUCUCUCUCCUGCUGCCUUGUGAAGCAGGUGCCUGCUUCGCCUUCUGCCAUGAUUGUGUUUCCUGAGGCCUCCCCAGCCAUGCAGAACUGUGAGUCAAUUAAAACUCUUUUCUUUAUAAAUUACUUAGUCUCUGGCAGUUCUUUAUAGCAGUGUGAGAAUGGACUAAUACACUAAGUUACUUCCUGAGUAGACCAAUGGCCUCCAUUCCCUCUGUCAAACAUACGACACUGACCCUGAAGGUAGCUUGGGCUGGCUGGGGAUGCACUCUCUGUAUGGCCCUGGUGCAUCACCUCCCCCACCCACUUCCACCCUCCCUGCUAAUGUGGAGUGUGUGUAGAGUGCACAGUUACAAUGAGGCCGUUGUGACAGUCCUGGUCACUGUUUUGAUCACAUGAUUUUUUAUUUUGUAGAUGAAUGAAAUACAAGUACAACAAGAAAAAGUUUCUGUAAAAACUAAGGUGAUUGCUUUAGAAUAACUCCAUAAAGGUCAUUCUGAAAAACAAUUGCUGCAACUCUAAAAGAUGGGGAAAUCUAGAAGCAUUCUGCACUUUGAUCAUGCACUGGGGCUGCAGUUUGUGCUUGAAGGAUUACCAAGAACUCCAAUUGGUGGGCUCUCAUUUUUUUAAAAAAGUUCCCAUUGCUAUUUUGAAGUGAAAAAAUAUAUAAUAAAAUCUACGUGAAUAUCAUCCCCUUAACUUCUACAAUCAACUAACAAAUCCAAAUUGGACUCGACAAGAGAGUUUCUACUGUAAUUAUAUGAAAAUAGUUGCUCUUGAUAACAAUUGAGUCUUGUUUUUUCUUUAUAACAGAGCUAUUGUCACUACUUUAAAAUAUGAGCAGAAUGGGGUAUGGAUCAGGUCUAUAAAGCUUUCUGUUUAUGUAUUUUGAAUAUACAUAGUUAUUAUUGCCUAUUAUCUACAUCAAAAUGGAGAGUUUAUUUGGUGAUGUCUUUAUCUUCUCAAGAUUAUUUACAAUUAGAGUGACUCCAGCAACUACUGAAGCUAACUCCACUGCACUUUCUCUAGUGGCAGCAUACAUUUCAACCAUUACAACAACCCAGUCUUUGCUGGUGCUUGAGAAUUGAAUCAAGCUAUUUGCCAGGAAACAAGAGAAUUUCAGCAGGAAAAGAGAAUGUUCACAAUGUCAGUGAUGAAUGAGGAGACCAUAGAGCAGGCAAACAAAAGAAAGCAGCAGGCCUGCUGGAGCUCCCUAUCUGAAGGCUUGGGUUUCCAGCACUCUAAAGCAGGUUCAGCAAACCACAGCCCAUGGACCACAUUUGGCCCUCACCUUGUAUCCAUAAAUAAAGUUUUAUUGAAAAGCAAUCAUGCACAUUUAUUCACAUAUAGCCUGUGGCUGCUUUUGCUCUACAAUGGUGGAGCUGAGUAGUUGCAAGAAAGACCCCGUAAAUAGAAAUAAAAGUGAACAAAAUAUGUAUUGUCUGACCUGUUACAAAAAAAAGUUUGUUAACCCUGGCUCUAAAGAAUCCAUUCUAUACAAGGCAGAGCUCUAUUAUGAGGUAUGACUGUAACUGUGUUUUAAAAAAGUGUUCUGGAACCUUGCCACAGUAGAUUAAUUCCUCAAGGUUAUCCCCAACAAUGAGAGGCAAGCCAAGUGAUUAACUAAGCCACUGACACUGUCCUAUGACACAAAUUUCUCCUCUAUCUCCCCUUCAGUAGUGCCUCACUUUGGAGUCGGCUGAGAAGAUCAUUCCAGACGGGAGUUUUGACACUGUACAAAUGCACUGUCUUCACAUCUACGCUGACACCCCUGCCUUUCUACCUGCAGGUGUCUGUGGCUUACAAGCUGGUGCCUCCCACAGACCCUGUAGUUUGGAGCUAAUGAAGAGCUGAGAAGGUAGGUUUGGCUGUGACUAGAGAGCAGGAACAACCUCUCCACAGGUCAUUCCUUUCUCCAGGCAUGGAACCGUCUUACAAACCUGGGCUGAGGGUUCAUUGCCUCUAAAUGUAGAAGCAAAGACUAAAUUCAAAAGGCAAGAACUACUUAAUGAAAACAGAAACUCCACUACAUACGUGUUUCUUCUGCCUAUCCCAUGGAGUCAGAGAGGUGGUGGAUCUAGCAGAGACAGCUGUAGACCAGGGGUCAGAAGACUUGGGUCCUCAUCCUGAUUCUACCACUAACUAGCUGCAUGACCUCAGACAAGUGACUUGUCUGCCCUAGACCAGGCAGGGUUGGACAGUUAGCCCCAAAGUCCCUUCUAAUGCUAAAAUUCUAAGAUUGUACCCUGCCAGCCUUAGGAGGCUAUGCUGUUACUACCAGUGCCUGGCACAUAGCAGGCACUAUAUAAAUGUUAAUUAUCAUUAUUAUUAUGUAAAGGCACAAUGCAUGCCUUUAUAUGUAAACGUGGAUUCUUCCCCAUUAUAACAAUGAAUGAUCUAGAAGCAAAUUAUAACAACAGGGUAUAAUCAUAAGCAAUGAAGACUGUAAUUCCUACCGGUCUUCUUCUCAGCACAAAUGAAUAAAGCUUUUCCCCCCUCCCCCUCCAGUAAUUGUUGGAGGUGGUUCUUGGAUCCAAAUCCCAAGCCCUUCCAGAAUAUCUGCAAUUGGAGAACGGGUCAUUCAAUCAAAAGACUGUAGACUGUACUGUGAUGUAAAUUUUUUUCUUCCCCACUGAAAAUCCCAGGCCAGGCAUGGUGGCUAACACUUAUAAUCCCAGCACUUUGGGAGGCCUAGGUGGGCAGAUCACUUGAGCUCUGAGCAAUACAAUGAGACCUCGUCUCUACUAAAAAUUCAAAAACAAUUAGCCUGGUGUGGUGGCACAUGCCUGUAGUCCCAGCUAUUCAGGGGGCUGGGGGCUGAGGUGGGAGGAUCACUUGAGUCUGAGAGGCCAAGGCUGCAGUGAGCCCUGAUUGCACCACUGAACUCCAGCCUGGGUGACAGAAGAAGACCUUGUCUCAGAAAAAAACAAACAAGCAAACAAACAAAAAACUCAAUGCAGGUUGGGAAUGAGAACUGGGAUUCAGGAUUUGGAGUUUCCUAAUAUAUUUUGCCUUCUUCCCAUGAUAUAUACAGUGUAUAAACCUAGUAUGAGGAAGGAACAGUUGUCUAUCAAAAUGGUAAAUGGCAUUCAGUCUUAAGUUUCUAAAUAAAGUUAGCAAUUAUGGGUAUGGCCAAAUGUGGGUGCUUGCCAUAACCUCUGGGGCCUCACCAUUUCCAGCUACCAGGAUCUGCAACUUUUUGCCUGAGGGUUUUCUCAGAAGACACAGAAACUGUUCUGCCUAUAAGCCUUGAAGUGCCAGGGAAUUAACACCUACCUUCCCACAGCCCUCCCCACAGUGACUGAUAGCAUUGAUAACGAUACCCAAGCUUCACCCCUCAGGUGGGAUAACUGAGCUGCUUGUUCUAUACCAUGUUCUAGAGUUUCUCCCAUGAGUUUAGGUUCUAAUCAUCCACAUGUAAAUUGCUUGAUAAGAAACCUUCAUUGACUCCUUGUCUCACUUCCCCUCCCCUUAUUUGUUUUGUUUGCACCUUUCAAAUAAACUAUUUUCAUUCAAAUC
rnacentral:lncRNA from 1 species